GUGUGAGUGUUUGUCACCGCACGGUACUGUUUCGGUUUGGUUAUUUCACGUAUUCGUUUAUUGGUUUCCAUAGUGUUCAGUGCUUUUCUUAUUAAAAUUGUCAUGAACACUUACCACGCCGCAUCUUGGUCCGAUCCUUACUCCUCUUCAGACGAAGAGGAGGAAAUCUGCCGUUACAGGAGCUCCACCAACGCUACCAGCUGAAACAAACGUUCUAUUUAAAUGAGGCGCUACAGAGCUGUGGAGGGGCUUUGAAGAAAUGUGCUCGGCACAAACAAGUAUGAAUGUGCAGACCAUGUUACUGGAACACCCCUCCACUCAAUAUUUACAAAAGCCACCAGACUGUCUCCAUGUUCUCUGUAAAGGGGAAAUUGUUCAUGGCUUUUUCAGACUUUUGCCUCUGACUAUAAACCUGUCUUGGCUUUAGCUGUAAUGCCACCCAGGUUGUUUUGAGUCCUUCAAUAAAUUCUGAUUUUGAUGUCCUGAA